AUUGAACGCUGGCGGAAUGCUUUACACAUGCAAGUCGAACGGCAGCACGGGGCAACCUGGUGGCGAGUGGCGAACGGGUGAGUAAUACAUCGGAACGUGCCCAAUCGUGGGGGAUAACGUAGCGAAAGUUACGCUAAUACCGCAUACGAUCUACGGAUGAAAGCGGGGGAUCGCAAGACCUCGCGCGAGUGGAGCGGCCGAUGUCAGAUUAGCUAGUUGGUGGGGUAAAGGCCUACCAAGGCUACGAUCUGUAGCGGGUCUGAGAGGAUGAUCCGCCACACUGGAACUGAGACACGGUCCAGACUCCUACGGGAGGCAGCAGUGGGGAAUUUUGGACAAUGGGGGCAACCCUGAUCCAGCCAUGCCGCGUGAGUGAAGAAGGCCUUCGGGUUGUAAAGCUCUUUCGGCCGGGAAGAAAUCGCAUAGGCUAAUACCCUGUGUGGAUGACGGUACCGGAAUAAGAAGCACCGGCUAACUACGUG
rnacentral:rRNA from 1 species